GCGGGAGUGGCUCAGCUGGUAGAGCGACACCUUGCCAAGGUGUAGGUCGCGGGUUCGAACCCCGUCUCCCGCU
rfam:Chloroflexus aurantiacus J-10-fl, complete genome.